rnacentral:rRNA from 1 species
CCUACGGGAGGCAGCAGUAGGGAAUCUUCCACAAUGGGCGAAAGCCUGAUGGAGCAACGCCGCGUGGGUGAAGAAGGUCUUCGGAUCGUAAAACCCUGUUGUUAGAGAAGAAAGCGCGUGAGAGUAACUGUUCCCGUUUCGACGGUAUCUAACCAGAAAGCCACGGCUAACUACGUGCCAGCAGCCGCGGUAAUACGUAGGUGGCAAGCGUUAUCCGGAUUUAUUGGGCGUAAGGGGAACGCAGGCGGUCUUUUAAGUCUGAUGUGAAAGCCUUCGGCUUAACCGGAGUAGUGCAUUGGAAACUGGGAGACUUGAGUGCAGAAGAGGAGAGUGGAACGCCAUGUGUAGCGGUGAAAUGCGUAGAUAUUAGGAGGAACACCAGUGGCGAAGGCGGCUUACUGGACUGUAACUGACGUUGAGGCUCGAAAGCGUGGGGAGCAAACAGGAUUAGAUACCCCAGUAGUC